rnacentral:rRNA from 1 species
UACGAAGGGUGCAAGCGUUAAUCGGAAUUACUGGGCGUAAAGCGUGCGUAGGCGGUUUCUUAAGUCUGCUGUGAAAGCCCCGGGCUCAACCUGGGAAUGGCGAUGGAUACUGGCUCGCUAGAGUGCGGUAGAGGAGAGUGGACUUCCCGGUGUAGCAGUGAAAUGCGUAGAGAUCGGGAGGAACAUCAGUUGCGAAGGCGGCUCUCUGGACCAGCACUGACACUGAGGCACGAAAGCGUGGGGAGCAAACAGG